AAAGGCCGUUCAGCUAGGAAGAAGCCACUGCUCCAAAACCCGCCAUAGCUGUUUAUCCUCCAGACAGAAGAGCUUGAGUUUCUCACUGUGUUGACUGCAGAGCACCUCAGGCCCUGCUGAAGCUCUCUGGCUUCUAUCGUACUGGACAUUCCCAAGAUGUCUUCUGUUUCCAGUAUUCCUCCAGACAGGCUUUACAGAAGCUGUGGCUACACAACAGGACCACAGGAUCAUUGAAGAUGUCACAGCAUACUGGACAGGAGAAAUCAUCCUCGGAGAGAGAAGCUUUAGAGGCCAUUUCUCACAGCUUAUCUCUCUGUUAUGGCUUUUGAAUUGAAGGUUUAGUUUCACUUUUGACAACUCUUUUGAUGAAUGUUUACUCUUGAAAAGUCAACUGAACUCAGAAAUCUGUUUUACCUGCCAUUGUUUCUUAGUCUUGAAUCGUUGUUUUGAUUGUUUACAAAUAUUAUUGGUCAUCCUAUAUGUCAUAUCAGUUUAGCUGAAUGCUGAAUAGCUGAAUGUUACAGCGCUGUUCUGUUGUGAGCUUUGCUCCUUCCUGCUAUACAAGUAAGUCAGGGGUGGGGCUCUCUGCUGAGUUGUCAUUUAUAUUAGCUUGAGUCUGUGCAGGACACUUCCACUAGAUGUCAGUGUUUGGUUAAAUAUAACCUGAUUUUUAUGGUCCAAUGUUACCGCUUUUGUCUCAAUUUCAAAUAAUUUCUGUAUAAUUUAAAAAUAUAUAAAAUAGCUUCUUAGCAAAGAGCAAUUUCUCAUGUAUUCGUUUUGCUUGGACUGUCUUAGUGGGAAAGGGAAACAUGAAAACUAGCUGUUAUUGGAAGAGAGGAUUUGGUCUUAUUGUCACUAAUAGUUAUCUCCUGCCUAGGUGGGAGGUGGGAGAGGGCAGUGUGGAGUGCAAUUGAGAUUACAGCAUCUGUGGAUCUGUUGGGGUAGAAUGCGAAUUGUAGUAGGUCUAGGAUGUAUGGGGUGAUGGUGUUUAUGUGUGUUAUGACCAUCCUUUCAAAGCACUUCAUAAUUACAGAUGUGA
rnacentral:lncRNA from 1 species